CGCUGGUAUCAGUUUUGUUUACCACCAAUCACGGGAGUAUUGUGUAUAGAAAGUAUUGAGUUAUAUUUCUCGCGCUACCUAACAUCCAUGAAGGCAACAUGACAGAGGGAGG